UAAAUUCAAUUGCUUUAGCUU
rnacentral:piRNA from 1 species